AAACUAUCAUCAGGGGAGAUACUACAAUCACAAAGGUGGCCUUCUCAGGGAAGGCACAUCUAUAGCAGGCCCCAAAUGUGGGGAUCUUGGCUACUUAGUUCGUCAUAGUGGGAGACUUGGUUCUCUAACUUCCCUA
ensembl:snRNA U1 U1 spliceosomal RNA